UACGUAUGGUGCGAACGUUGUUCGGAAUCACUGGGCAUAAAGAGCACGUAGGCGGUUGAGCAAGUCUGCUGUGAAAUCCCCCGGCUUAACCGGGGAACUGCAGCAGAUACUACUUGACUUGAGUUCAGGAGGGGAAAGUGGAAUUCCAGGUGGAGCGGUGAAAUGCGUAGAUAUCUGGAGGAACGCCGGUGGCGAAAGCGACUUUCUGGCCUGCAACUGACGCUGAGGUGCGAAAGCUAGGGGAGCAAACGGG
rnacentral:rRNA from 1 species